rnacentral:rRNA from 1 species
CCCUUAGACGUUCUGGGCCGCACGCGCGCUACACUGACCAGUGCAACAAGCAUCCGUCCUUGGCCGACAGGCCCGGGCAAUCUUUGAACGCUGGUCGUGAUGGGGAUAGACUUUUGCAAUUUUUGGUCUUCAACGAGGAAUUCCUAGUAAACGCAAGUCAUCAACUUGCAUUGAUUACGUCCCUGCCCUUUGUACACACUGCCCGUCGCACCUACCGAUUGAAUGGUCCGGUGAAGCCUCCGGAUUGGCGCGCACCUCGGUGCCGCCGAGAAGUUGGCUAAACCUUACCAUUUAGAGGAAGGUGAAGUCGUAACA